rnacentral:rRNA from 1 species
CCUACGGGUGGCAGCAGUGAGGAAUAUUGGUCAAUGGGCGAGAGCCUGAACCAGCCAAGUCGCGUGAAGGAUGAAGGCUCUAUGGUUUGUAAACUUCUUUUAUAUGGGAAUAAAGUGAGGCACUUGUUCCUUUUUGUAUGUCCCAUAUGAAUAAGCCUCGGCUAACUCCGUGCCAGCAGCCGCGGUAAUACGGAGGAUGCGAGCGUUAUCCGGAUUUAUUGGGUUUAAAGGGAGCGUAGGUGGGUAAUUAAGUCAGUGGUGAAAGUUUGUGGCUCAACCAUAAAAUUGCAGUUGAAACUGGUUGUCUUGAGUAUAGUUGAGGUAGGCGGAAUGCGUGGUGUAGCGGUGAAAUGCAUAGAUAUCACGAAGAACUCCGAUGGCGAAGGCAGCUUACUAAACUAUAACUGACACUGAAGCGCGAAAGCGUGGGGAUCAAACAGGAUUAGAUACCCGGGUAGUC